UCCGCAACUUGCACGCUGCAUCCAGUCCUUGCCCAAUCCCACGCCUAUCCCCUUUCCCCUCCAAUUUGCACAGUCGCCGCACCCUCCCUCCUUCCACACGAACCCUCACUCCUCCCAGCCGCCACCCUCACUCCUCCCAGCCGCCUCAUGCUCGCUUCCUCCUCCUCCAUCCUCCCGCGCCGGUCUCCCCUCACAUCUCAUUCAUCUCAUCGGAUCCAAGGCGAGGCGAUCUUCUCCGGCUGCGACCCCAUGGAUCCGUCCCUGAGAAGAUGAGAGGGAGAGAGAGAGGAAAGAGGAACAGGAGGUCCAGCGGUGGAGGGGAGAGGGCACCUCUGGCCCUUCCUCUUCCCGCGCCGCCGCCGAGGAUAACGACCGCCUGAUCCAAGAGGCUACACAAGGACGCGCAGAAGAACAUGAAACACGAGUUGCUGGCCUGCUGCAUGGAGGAGGUGAGGCGAACCCAGUCUGUUCCUCCCUUCAUUGCCCAGUUCAUGGAGAUGGUUGAUGGCAACAACUGCUUCGAAGUCCACCACUGUGAGCUGCUCAAGCCGUCUGUGUCGGUUGCCCUGCUCCGCCGUCUCCCUUUCCCCUUCUGGCGACCCCUCCCUACGAAUACGAUGACAGGGAGGAGGGCCUGCCUUUUCCUCGGAGAGGAGGUCGACUGUCGGAGUCUUUGUGUGGAAUGAAGCGAAACAGCAGGAAGGAAAUAGAGCGGGUCGUGUGUCAUCGUACACAGUCUGCCUUCCAUUGUGUGAGUACUUGCACUUGGAUCGCCCAAUUGUGUGUGCACAGCAGGUGACCAUGCAUUGGAACAUCGGAUUCAACCUGCUCACAAGUUGAAGAGAAGGCUACAUAUGCUUUUUGUAGCCAGUACUAAGUAAUCUAAUGAUCCGCUCCUUGCAAUCUAAGAAAAAUAAACAUUCAAGUAAUUUCUGAUCGAAGGUCUGGUUACCAACUAUUUGUGUUUGUGUCUACAAGCUUUUGACUUUUUUUGUCUGGUCUAUUGUUUAUUUGCAAUGUUGGACACUCUUGCCAUUUCCUGUGAUUUUUUUGUUUGAUCUUACUCUCAAUAUACUACAUAUUAACUCUGAUGAAUGAGUAUUUUCAGAUUAGAUUGGGUGGCCCUGACAUUGUCUCAGAUCCGAGCGAAUACCAAAAACAUAUGUCAGUUCUGCAGCAUAAAUAGAUUUACAUUUCUUUUCUUUUGCUCCAUUUUUGGUAUGUGUUUUGUCCAUACGAAUUGUAUCACCGAAGCAUGCACAUAGUAGUCAUUGCUUGAGUUAUGAUUGUAACUUACGAUUCUUCAUGUAUUGUUCACUAUGUUUGCCUAUAUGCAUUUAAAUGAUGGUGUCCUGCAUAUGUAGUCAGGAAGCUACUAGCAGUACUGUUAGUUAAGGCUUUUCACCAUGUUCAUAGUUUUACUUUGUGCGUACUGAAAGUAACCAAUAUGCUUCUGGAUCUGUGCUUUGGCAGCCCCGCAAUGUUCUGUUGGAGCACAAGAGAUUAAAGCUUCUGAAGUAUUGGACCUGGCAAUUUCUUGUUGUUAGGCAUGUAUGCUCCAUUCUGAUUAUUACACUUCAGCUUCUUGGGCUGUACACCAGUAGGGUCAGCUGGACAUUCACAUUUAUACUGAAAUUUUUCAGUCUCCAUGGCAUUAUAUGGCUUGGUCAUAUUCUAUCACUUGUUUGCCAAGGAGUUGGUAGGUCACAAGCCUCUUGCUAAGUUUUUGUGCAUGAAAGGGAUUGUCUUCUCUUUCUCGCUGGUAAAUCACUUCCUCUCCUGGCAUAAAGACUUUCAAAAACUAUUGUAAUUAUCUUUGGGUUAGUUUUUUUCCUAUGUGUCUGAAUGUUUUGAUGUAAUUGUACGCAAGUUUGUCUUCAUGGUUGCAUCGGACAUUUGGUUAAGGUGGCGAUAUUGGUUUAGUAAUGUUGAUAGUUAAGGCCUUUUAUUCUUGCCAUGUUAUCUGCUAUGAUUUUGCAUGAAGCUCUUCUCUCACCCACUCUUUGGAUUUUGUCCAGCAUGAUAUUUAAUUACCUUAUAUAUUGUUAUUAUGGCUGAGGUUAUCAGUCUAGGAGCUUUAUCUGCAGUUUAAUUUUCCAUGCAUUGCCAUGUAAAUAUUCAAAUUCAGAAAGAAAGAAAAAUAAAGGUCGCAAAUAAACAACUAUGCACGGUGAAAAAUAAAGCUAGAGAUAAGUUUGAAACGAGUUUAUGAGCAUAAAUCAGUUAAAUUAUUUCACCUUUCAACACACAACUUUGCUGCUGUAGACAUUCCCAGUGGACUGUUGCUGUUAGUGAACCACCCUAUUGUCUACGGGUGCUUGAGACACAUUCUAACCUGCAAUCCUUAGCGGUAGGAAACUAAAUAGGGUUGUGUGCUGGACAUUUUGGCUACUGUAGGGGUUAUUCAGUCUCGCCAUUUCUGGCUGGACGUCGAGCGCAUACAUGAUGCAAUCCAGAACGUCUUGAUUAUCGUAGAAAGGGUUAUCUUCUUAGUCCUCUAGCAAUAUGUGUACCAUGUCGCUCCGUACAGUGGCGCUGACAAGGCGAAAUCCGUGAAGAAAGAAUGAUUCAGGGCUUCGUGCCAAGCAACAUCUGCAACUGGUUCUUGUAUAAUUUUGUGUGUAUGUGCUGGGAGUAUUGAUUCUAGGUGUUAUAGGAUAUGUAUAUUUCCUUGUGAACAUGUGUAGAGUGAGUCGUUGUUAUAUGCCUUGAACAUUAGAAAACCAGAUGAUCAGGAACGACAUAUAGGAAAGCUACUGUUGUUACCGUGUUGUGAGAUUAUGUAAAGCCUGAACAAGGAGAAUUUUGGGGGUUCCACUCCUCAAAUUUGGUCUAGAAUAAAUGGUUGUUUCCUAUUGCUUGUUCAAAAACUUGUCUGAAAUUAUCAGUGAUAUGAGUCCAGGUAUGGCUUGGACUGUCUGUGUGCUUUCUCAAACACAAAGCUAAUGAAAAAAUGGAAAUAUUUUCAAAGCGCACAUGGUUUCAAAUGGGCCUCCACGCCAUUACAUAAUCUCGGUCUGGGGUUGCUGCUUAUUUGUUCUGCCAGCGAAGGAUUUGGCACAGAGUUGUGUUCUGUUUUGGCUCAUGCUAGCGAAGGAUUUGGCACAGAGUUGUGUUCUGUUUUGGCUCAUGCUUGCCACUUGCAUGAUUGAACAUCUGGUGUUUUGUCCGAUCAACCAUUUGUGAACACUAACUGAGGGAGUCCUGGACUAGGGGGUGUCCGGAUAGCCGAACUAUCAUCAUUGGCCGGACUCCAAGACUAUAAAGAUACAAGAUUGAA